GGCCCGGGCGCACGGAUAUGAAUGCCGGUUCAAGGACUGGAGCCGAGCAGUGCCCAUGCAGGCGGAAGCAGGAGGAUUUGAAUGCUGUGAGGAUCAAGUUGAAGACACGUGCAGACUUGCCCGCGUCGCAGAGAAUGUUGAUCGGUUUCUACUGUUGCUAUGCUUAUGACGUCACAUUUUCUCUAUUACCCCCUCGCUGCCUAUGUUCAGAGUCAAACCUCAUGGCAAAUUUCUGAAAUCGUGUACGAUGCUGACCAGGAAUACUUCUUCUAUGACACUAAGUCUUGACACGUGAAUUGGCCUGUUUGUUUGAGCCUCUGCCCAAGGAACCUGGGGAUGAAGUUUUCCCCCACAGUUGUCUGCUGUCCGAAGUGGGAUGCAGCGGAGCACUGAGUUGGCACCUUGAAGAGUCUGGAGACACAACCGACAGCCACGGCACCAACAUUUGGAGACCCUGACAAUAACCAAAUUGAUAGACUCCUCCAACUCUCCAUCUCUUGCGGAUGUUCCCGAGUCCUUGCGGACUUCCCACCUCAAUGAAGCGGGGAAACUGUUGAACAUUGACCCAGUUCACUUAACAUAUAACGCACGCAAACCUUGUCCUGCCAUCGAUCAGUAUCCUUUGUGCCGUGAAGCUGACGAAGACCCACUACCAAGAAGCAGCUCAGAGAAUUUUUCGGCUCUGCAUCUUGUUGUUGGCGGUGGAUACCUACCUUUUCUGUACCAGCUAAACCGGUAAACAAGCUUACUAAGGAUGAUUCUCCUAAGAACCCUCUGCUACAGACCGAGCACCACGAACAACCCUGUGUUAACCUAAAAACUGCACGAGCCUCUGCAACAGCAGUGGGACACCCUGACUCUGGGUGCAGCUCCAGAAUCCGAAAAACACGUGUGGCUGUCUGCCGGGGGUAUCUUACAUUCAGAGACCUUGUGGAAGUCUCGUGACGGGUGCAUCAUUCCCCCUGAAACCCUUGUCUCUCAUCUUGCAGGCACGCGUUAACCGAGAUAUUUAAAUUACCCAAACUUAGUAAGCCGGCGUAACUUUAUGGCCCUGACAUUCUUCCGAUUGUGCUACUGCACCUCAGGAACAUGCCUAAUAUAAAACAUGGCCCUACGCCAUGUGACAUUUUAUUUAGUAGACCUAUGAACGUGGGUUUAACCCCUGUCCAAGAGAUUAAAGCAGUAGAUCUGUUAGAAGGUCAUGACAGUGUGUUCAGUUAUAGCAAAGGACUCAUGAAGACUGUCAAAACUUUGUUUCCACAGGUCAUUGCAGCUUUACACAUUCCAACUGCUGUUCCCUGCCAUGGUUUGACACCUGGCGAUUGGGUCCGAGCAAAGGAAUGUUCCCAGAAGGACUGCCUGCAACCUGGACGGACUGGACCCCAUCAAGUCUUGCUCGCCACUAAUACUGCCGUAAAGGUGGAUGGAAAUUCUGCCUGGAUACAUUAAUGCCAAAGAAAGAAGAAGAAAUCAACCCAAAGCCAGCCCGGUCGCAAUUAGAUCCCACUCAAACGGAAACUGAGGAAUAAGGUCUCCAAGAAACGAAUGAGGAUACCCCUCACCUUGCUGAGCCCCCGUACAACUAUAACCUUUGUCCUAGAAGACAAGCCAAGGAAAGGGAGAAUUGUGUUGGGCACGCAACUAUUCCCAGCCAAAUUUUGAUUCCGUGGGAAACAGUAGCUGUUAACAUUUUGAUACGGGAUGAGGAGUGCGGAUGAACAAUCAUACUACAGAGAGAACGUGGUGCCAAAGUUUUCAUGGAUGGUAUGGGCCAAAUAACUGCACUAGCAGAACUGGUGCAGUAUCCUGCACACCAAUGAAGUGGUCACAUGUCGCCAUAUUGGAAUGUUUAAAUUUAGGAGGGCAUUGCUAUAGACAUGGCAGCAUAAAGUCAGCAUCUCCUGACAGUUUGGAAAGGCCAUCUCCUAUUGGAGCUCAGUUUACCCGAGACUGUUAUGAAGGCUUUCUCAGUAAUAACCAGGCCCUGCCGGGAACCUACUGGGUGUGCGGGACUAAAGUCUACCAUCAGGUACUGCCACAGUGGUCCGGAUACUGUUAUGUCGCCUGACUAACCCCUCCAGCCUGAGCUAGAAACGUUCUGCCUCCAGGGCAUCCCCGAAAUGAAAUAGAAAGCCCCGAGCAAGCAGAUUGAGAACAGCAUGUGCUAGCUACCCUUGAAACUUAUACAUAUCCUUUCACCUUGGGACAAUUACUAGGCUGUUCUGUAGCAGGAAUAAGUCCACCAAUUACCGAGCCGGCGAUCUCCUGUUUGGGGAGACAUACCGUACGACUACAAGCGUCAGUCGAAAUAUGGGCGCUAGAAACUGAAACUGCCACAGCCAGUCUGGGAAACGCUAUGAAGAGCAUAGGCUGACAUCAAGAUACUUUACGAGUACUGCUUAUGCAGAACCGAUUAGCCCUAGACUAUGUUUUAGCAUCGGAAGGGGAUGCCCGCGCUGCAAUAGGCCAAUAAGUGUUGCCCUUAUGUAAAUAGUACCUUUGAAUUAGUAGAAAAUCAAGUUAAUAAUGGGAUGCUUCAUGCUGCAAAAGCUGCUGAAGCAGCCUUUGUUCCCAAAGAUUAUUCAGUACACUGGUUGGAGUGGUUAGAUCCUAGGGGAUUAUUCCAAGGUCUGCUUGGGAAAAUAAUAUCUGCUUUGUGUAUGGUUUAUAUUUUAGGGUUAAGUUUGUAUGUGAUUGUGCAACUAGUUUUCUACUGCACAAAGUUGUGUGUUAGAAAGGCUGAACACACUAUCUCAUCUGGGGCCAAAGAUACGAUUGGAAACAUGGUGUUAGAACUGAACAAUAAUUAAUAGAGCAAGAGAAACUAUGGACAGACCUGUGCCAAAUAUAAAUAUAGUGAUGCUCCUUUGGAAGGAGCAAAGGGGGGAAAUGAACGGGAAAACAAUAUGGUUCCAGUCUGCUAUUUUGCUAGUCAGCGAGUCAUGUAGCCCGGUCAUGACUUUGCUGUUACACGCUGGUUUAAAGUGGCGUGUGUCUCCAGGAACAAGUUGACGACAUGCGCAGACCUGUCUGUGUCGUGGCUCAGGUCGAUCGGUUAUUACUGUUGCUAUGCUUAUGACGUCACGAUUUCUAUAGAACCCACGUACUGCCUGUGUUCAGAAUCGGGCCUCAUGGCAAAAUUCUGGUUUUGUGUAUGCCGCUGAUCAGGAAGGCUUUCUUUACUAAGCUAUGAUUUUACACUUCAGUGGCCUUGUUCAUUAGAGCCUCUGGCCAAUGACAAAGUUUUCCCCCACAGACUUGUUGUCUGACCCUGAUGCACACCGGCACACUGAUUUUAUUUGUUCACCCAUUCUGUCCCCCUAGUAGUUGGUGUCACCAUAACUAGCCCUGGAUUCCUUUCCGAAUCGGUUGCGUAACCCUAGCACUCAGCGUAUCCCUAACCGGACCCAGAUUCCGUUGUGAAUACGUUCUCCAAUCCUAGCAUUUGGUGUAAGCCUUACAGGACACGGAUUCAUUUGUGGACCUGUUUCCUAAUUGUAGCACGCAGCGUAACGCUCAGUUGACCUGGAUUCAUUUGUUGACCCGUGCUGUACCCAUAGGUCUCGGCACUGUAGGAGAAGAAAACCCCCGGCCUUAAGCUGUUUGUAAGGAGUGCUUGGUUGAAUUCUCAAGAACUACGGAGCAGACUUACGAUGUCAAUAGGUCAACCCAGAAUGUCCCCAGGCUUGCACUUUGCCGUGUUGGCAGGUUCCGGGUUCCACCUAGUUGUCUAUUCAACUCGUUAUGUCUUCUCUCAUGUGACCUGCCCUUGAAACCAACAUAUAAAAGGUUUGCUUUGAUUGCA